ACCGCUGAAUUCUUCCAGGUCAAA
rnacentral:siRNA from 1 species